GACGAACGCUGGCGGCGUGCUUAACACAUGCAAGUCGAACGGAAAGGCCCUGCUUUUGUGGGGUGCUCGAGUGGCGAACGGGUGAGUAACACGUGAGUAACCUGCCCUUGACUUUGGGAUAACUUCAGGAAACUGGGGCUAAUACCGGAUAGGAGCUCCUGCUGCAUGGUGGGGGUUGGAAAGUUUCGGCGGUUGGGUAUGGACUCGCGGCUUAUCAGCUUGUUGGUGGGGUAGUUGCUUACCAAGGCUUUGACGGGUAGCCGGCCUGGGAGGGUGACCGGCGAAAUUGGGAAUGAGAUACGGCCCAGAAUCCAACGGGAGGCAGCAGUGGGGAAUAUUGCACAAUGGGCGGAAGCCUGAUGCAGAAACGCCGCGUGCGGGAUGACGGCCUUCGGGUUGUAAACCGCUUUCGCCUGUGACGAGGCGUGAGUGACGGUAAUGGGUAAAGAAGCACCGGCUAACUACGUG
rnacentral:rRNA from 1 species